UCCGAUGUGGUGUAGUGGCUAACAUUGCUGUCUUUCAUGAACUAAUGACGUCGUGAUACACAGCAGCCCGGGGUUCGAUUCCCCGCAUCGGAA